rnacentral:rRNA from 1 species
AUGAGUGGGAGAUCCAAACUGUUGUUGUUGCCAGCUUCAGUCUGCAGGGGGCAAAUAACUGAACUACUAAAGAGUCAUGCGUAUCACCCUGACGAGAGCGAAGGUGCAUCAGCAAGGGGGAAGAAGUAUACAGGGGAGAUAUGCAAGACAAUAGAGGUGGAGCUGGCCCUGAUGUACGACAUGCUGUACACCAAGGCACAAGUGAUCCACACAUGGUAUGGCUACUGCGCCCGUGCCAUUUCACUUGUUUCUUGCUUCGUCGCUCUUGUGGUCUUCACAAAGAGCAAAAGAGAUGGCUACAGCACACCCAACAUUGUUAUCACUUUUGCUCUUCUGGGCGGAGCUUGCGCACUGGAGAUCGCAUCUGUUUUCAAGGCGAUUGGGUCGACCUGGACUUGUUCCACCUUAAGAAACAGCAGAUGGUUUUUGCUGGCUAAUACAAUUCUGUUCGCACAUUACUACCUCGUCAAGGAUGGAAGGUGUUCCGAUUCUGCCGGGAAAUUUAACUUGAUAUCCUUCUGUGUUCACAGCAGAAAGAGUGGCCUCAAGGGAAGUAUAGCCCGUCUGAUUAGGCUCCGGGGCGUGUGGGACAAAGCUCGCUGCACCAAACAUCCCAAGCUUUCUCCUGCGGUGAAGAAGUUUGUAUGGGGCUUGCUCAGAGGUGGCAAGAGUGAUAUGGUACAAAUUGAAGAUGUGGCCAUCCAGAGUGGGUACUGGGCUCGCAGAUUCAGUGGCUUUGCCCAGAGCGAACAUCUCGAUUGGAGCAUGAGUUGUGAAUUUCAGAAGAGUGUGCUUAUUUGGCAUAUCGCCACAAGCACCUUGCUCAAUCACCCUGACGUCAAACCAGAGCUGGUCGACAAGGUUGAAGCAGUUAAUACUCUCAAUACUCUCUCUGAUUACAUGAUGUAUCUCCUCGUCGAGCACCCUAACAUUCUGCCUUCCAAAGCUGAUGCUCGUAGCCUGUUUCACCAUACCUGCAAGAGAUUGACUGAAUUUAUGAAUCAUGAUCCAACAGUGGAUGAGGUUUAUCAGACAAUUCUGGGUUACAAGGAAGAAAGGGGUCUUCGUGAGCAAUCAUUCACAUAUGAUUCCGCUGAUGCCGCGGGCAAAGCUGUGCUGGAGAAAGCAAAUACACUUGCUGGGUUAUUGCUCGACCUGAAGUUGGGGGCCUUGGGGGUCACAUAUAAGAUGGUAAUAAUUGGAAAGGUGUGGACGGAGAUGUUAUGCUACGCAGCAACCAAUGCAUCUGAGGGAUUCCAUGCCAGGCAGCUGAGCAAUGGUGGCGAGUUUCUGACCCACAUCCUGCUCCUCACUCAAUAUGCUGCUGCCAUGCACAAGCUACCAAAGCCGGUCAAAGUAGAUGAUUGGACUGUCGAGGCUAGUGCUGCUAGCGAUGCCAAGAUGGAUGUGGAGAAUGGCUGGAAGGAUGAGAUCACCGAAAGCUGCUGA